rnacentral:rRNA from 1 species
UACGUAGGGGGCAAGCGUUGUCCGGAUUUACUGGGCGUAAAGAGCGUGUAGGCGGCCAAACAGGUCCGUUGUGAAAACUGGAGGCUCAACCUCCAGACGUCGACGGAAACCGUAUGGCUAGAGUCCGGAAGAGGAGAGUGGAAUUCCAGGUGUAGCGGUGAAAUGCGUAGAUAUCUGGAGGAACACCGAUGGCGAAGGCAGGUCUCUGGGCAUUAACUGACGCUGAGGAGCGAAAGCAUGGGGAGCGAACAGG